ensembl:snoRNA
UGGCACACAUGUAGACCUUGCCCGGUGCUCUCUGUGGUCAGGCAAGGGGGACAGUGUGUGCAAGAGUGACGCGGGGCUCCUGCCCGCUCUGCCCAGCUGGGUCGUGGCUGGGUGGACCGCAGCGCUCCCACAUCC